GUUUCCCACUACAGCAGCAAAUACUGCAGUGUCCUGAGGAUUGUUCCCGGUGCCUUGCGAAUGUCAUGCAAAUGCACUUGACUGGCAAGUGAGUGAGCAAAGCCAUCUGACCAGGAUGGGUAAAUCCAUUCACAGUGCUGUCCUUGGUGUGUGGAUCAAGAACUACAGAAAGCUGGCACCAAAUGGCUACAUGUCUUUCACUAAGAAUUUUCCUGACAGAAGACAAGGAAGUGACCAAUCGUAUUCUUUGAAGCUUACCACUAAAUUGAGGAAUUGAGCUGUAUUCUUGCUAAAAAGGAAUCCACCUUGAUAUGACCGCUUCAAGCAAGCUGCAAGAAUCCACCUCAGCUAGGGUUAACUGGGUGGCUCCGUCAGUUACGCAUCUGCCUUUGACUCAGGUCCUGAACCCGGGGUCCUGGGAUCGAGCCCUGCAACAGGGCUACCUGCUUAGUGUGGAGCCUGCGUUUCCCCCAC